rnacentral:rRNA from 1 species
ACGCUCGACACCUACGGUAGGCAGCAGUCGGGAAUAUUGCGCAAUGGAGGAAACUCUGACGCAGUGACGCCGCGUAUGGGAAGAAGGUUUUCGGAUUGUAAACCAUUUUAGACAAGGAAGAAACAAGACAGUACUUGUAGAAUAAGCUCCGGCUAACUACGUGCCAGCAGCCGCGGUAAUCUGAGCGGGCUGGCAAGGC